GAUCUUCUAGACAGGGUCAAUAGGUGAUAAAAAAGGCCCAUGGCCUAGGUUUGUGACCUCCAUUGCACUUUGGAAGGGUGCCUACCUAAGGUCGGUUUAAGUGGUCGAGCCUAUAUCAUAAAUGGUCGAGCCUAUGUCAUAAGUUUUGGGAGCAGAGGCAUGCGUUUGCGCAGCUCCCCA
rnacentral:snRNA from 1 species